AUGCUUCUAGUGCAAUUUAAUUCGUGGUAUACCUUUUAUGAGAUCCUUGGUAAGUUUGGAAUCCACCGUGCGAUUUUCAUGCGACUCUGUUUUGACUUUUUGCGCACUCAUUUUCAUGACGUACAUGCUUCCCGGAUUUUGCUCUUAUGUUUCCAUUGCUUGCUUCAUUUCACUCUAUGCAUGAUAACAUGUCACUUUAACUUGUGA